rnacentral:lncRNA from 1 species
AAUAUAUAUAUAUAUAUAUAUAUAUAUAUGUAUGUGAAUAGGCCUCUACAAUUGAACUAAUUAUAGUUAAAUGACAAGAUAACAAUCCAAUGGUGAUACAUCCUUUCACACGGUCAAAGAGGUUAGUCCAAUCAAAACGUCUCUUUCCUGCCUCCGUCCCGCCCAUAGUGAUGGUCGCUUAGCGCGGGCUUCCUGUGAUUGGUCCAACCGAAUACAGUGUUUCUCCGAGGCUCCUGCUACAGUUCGUUACCGACAAAAUACGUUACACUUACAACUGGCUAUGAAAAUAGAUAAUUCUCUUAACUUUUAGUUAAUUGUGUAGCGAAAUAAUCACUUAAACGUGUUGUUACUUUAGAAACAGUAAGGUUACGGUGUCUUGCGGCUCCGUCUCGUCGGUUUUCACUCCGGGAGAGAAGAAGCUUCUUCAUUUGUUGUGAACAUUGUAACGCUGUUUACUUUCGGUAUUUUGGGGAAAGUCCUGGCCUUAAACUAUUCAUUGAUGGUCUGCAGUAGAACCUGAGGUAGCGGGCCUAACCGUAGCCCAACAUCAUGACCGAGAGUUUCAGCAACAUCGAGGAUGAGGCAUUCCCCAGUUUCCUGUCUAGCUCUGUGGGCAGCAGCCGUGCCACCCUGGGGAACAUCACCCUGGCCUCCACCCUGGGGCUGCCCGUAGCUGCCUCCACCGUGGCUAAAAUUAGAGCUGGGGCCGACAACAGAGAUGAUGCAGAUGACUUCAUAGCAGCCAACCGGUUCUCAA